rnacentral:lncRNA from 1 species
CAAUGCGCGCGUAAAAGAAAGAAUGACUGGAAGAAUUUUAUUUGGAUGACCUACUAGCUUCUAUGGAACUUUAAAUGAAAGCUUCAAAAGCAGUGAUUGUGUUAUAAAAGACUCCAGAAGACAUUUUUUUCUGUAAGACAAAGACAGCUCAACAGAACUAAGGAUGAGCAAGAAGCAAAGAGUUUGGGGUCAAGAAAGAAAAACUUCCUGUGAUCAGUGUUUCUGUAGAGACCAUAUCAGCUCUGAUUCAAGAAAACAAGAGCAUCAAAAUAAAAGCUCGGCUUAUCUUCAACAAGGCUUGUGACACUGUCGCCCAUAACAUCCUCCUAGGCUAGCUGAGGAACU